GAUAAACGCUGGCGGCGUGCAUGAGACAUGCAAGUCGAACGGACGAUCAGGGCUUGCUCUGAUCGUUAGUGGCGGACGGCUGAGUAACGCGUAGGUGACCUGCCCCGAAGUGGGGGAUAACUGCCCGAAAGGGUGGCUAAUACCGCAUGUGGUGGUUCGUUCGAUCGACCCAUCAAAGCAGCAAUGCGCUUCGGGAGGGGCCUGCGUCCGAUUAGCUUGUUGGGGGGUAACGGCUCACCAAGGCGACGAUCGGUAGGUGGUCUGAGAGGACGAUCACCCAGACUGGGACUGAGACACGGCCAGACUCCUACGGGAGGCAGCAGUCGGGAAUUUUGCGCAAUGGGCGAAAGCCUGACGCAGCAACGCCGCGUGAGGGAUGAAGG
rnacentral:rRNA from 1 species